UACGUAGGGCGCAAGCGUUAUCCGGAAUUAUUGGGCGUAAAGAGCUCGUAGGCGGUUUGUCGCGUCUGCCGUGAAAGUCCGGGGCUCAACUCCGGAUCUGCGGUGGGUACGGGCAGACUAGAGUGAUGUAGGGGAGACUGGAAUUCCUGGUGUAGCGGUGAAAUGCGCAGAUAUCUGGAGGAACACCGGUGGCGAAGGCGGCAUCCUGGACCGAUACUGACGCUGAGGAGCGAAAGCCAGGGGAGCAAACGGG
rnacentral:rRNA from 1 species